AAUAAACACAGCUGGGAAUUUCCAGCGACCGUAAAAUGGAAGUUGGAGUACUAGUGUUGUUGAUGUGGAAUAUACACACAAUAUGAAGAUCUCCUUGCACCUGUUGACCUCACUCACCCUCACACAACUUUUCAUCACCCUGAUUGUUUUUGUUCACUGUGUUGAAUCGACCUACUACUGCAGCACAGCGGGUGGGGAUCCAUGUACUCUGGCGGAGACCCUGUAUGAGCCGUACGCCCGGACAGGUAACUGUGAGUACAACGGUGUGUAUGCCCCCUGUGACCGCUACAUUACACCAGGCUGGUACAAGAGCGAUGACCUCGUCCUGGAUAAUUGCCCGGUCCUCAACAGCUGUGGGGCAGUGUAUCCGAUCUGGAUGAACGGAACCUUUCCACAAGUCGCCGAUGGAGUUGUCUCUAGAACCCUCUGUAAGACUGGGUUUGGGGGCUGCUGUGUGAGACAGUACGACCUACAGAUCAAGAACUGUGGGACGUCCUACGUAUACUGUCUACCAGCCUUAGAUUCGUGUCCAGAACGACUCUGUUUCGGGACUAACGGAACCUGUGAAUAUCCGACUACGGUCGCCAUAACGACUACGGUCGCCAUAACGACCACCGCUGUUGUAGACUCCACGGUGUCACUAAGGGAGUAUAGAAAAAAAGAAGAAAAGAUAGAGAAAUCAGCCAAAGCCGCGUGGAACUGGCCACAGAUGAGACGGGGGUGGAAAGCAACGGAUCCCCUCCCCAUCUUCAUUUUCAACCUAAAUGAGAUCCGCUGACUGCAUUUUUACUAGUUUUAACUUAUUGACAGUAUAUAUUAUAUUGUUAAUAUUGAAGUUGUACAGACUAUUGUGAUUUUUUUCAGCUGAUAUCCGUUAGUUAUUAUUUUGUUUUUUUCCGUUUGCAAGAAUGUUUUGUUAUUUCAUCUAGUAUGUGUAACAUUUAAGUUUUAUAAUUCAUGUGAAAUUAAAAAAAAUAUUUUGAUUUUUUUUUAUUACUAAAUGAUAAUUUAUGGGCAAAUAUAUGUUUGCAGGUUUAAGGAAGACGCGACAGUUAAUUAAACCAAAGUAAGAUAUGAUAUCGUAUUUGAAAAUAUUACGUCUUUUGAAAAUAUUAUCCGAACACUUAUACUUCCGCUCGAAAUUUCACAGGAACUGAGCAAGUAUCGGGAAAGUCUCGUGAACUUUCAUUCGAGCAUCUCUGGAUUUAUUGUAUACUUGGCAACGAUAAAGAAAACAUUCAGAACACAUUCGCAGGGGUGUUUUUAACCUGGUCAAUGAAAAAUUGUCAUUGAAAAAUAUCGUAUUGUUUAUAGACUUUGUUUUUUAUCAACUUUGUAUUGUUUUGAGUUAUACUUGUGUACUGUCAUGAAAUUUCUAUAAAUGUUUAUCAGAAAAAAAUGUCAUCAUU
rnacentral:misc_RNA from 1 species